UCCACUUUUGGCUCCUGUUUACCUGCUAGACUCAGGCCCUCCACCUAAUAAAUAAUCAGCUGCUGCCUCUCAGAGGGGCUGUGGGAAUCCAUCCAUCACCUGGGCAGCCACAGGAACCACUGCCAGCUGCAGGAACAGCAAACGUGUGGUUUAAAUGAACAAUAAGAUGUGAAAGAGGACAUCCAGUUAAUCACCCCUAAAAAAGAAGAAGUUAACAUCUCUGAACAUCUUUAGUUCACAUCCAUUUGCUGUGCAUCAGUCCUGAG
rnacentral:lncRNA from 1 species